AUUCAGGAUGGACUGGGUUUGGAUCCUGGAUUUCUAACUCUAGAUGAGAGUAAAGUUAGCCCAGACCAGAGGAGAUGAGCUGGCUUUGGCUGCAAUUCAGAUGUCGUGCUUAAAACAUUCAUAUGGUGCCCAGAGGGGUCUCAAUAAAUAUUGAGGACAAGAAUAAUGAUGAAUCACUUUUCUCAAUAAUUAGGAAAUCUACAAUGCAC
rnacentral:lncRNA from 1 species